rnacentral:rRNA from 1 species
GAUGAACGCUGGCGGCGUGCCUAAUACAUGCAAGUCGAGCGAACAGACGAGGAGCUUGCUCCUCUGACGUUAGCGGCGGACGGGUGAGUAACACGUGGAUAACCUACCUAUAAGACUGGGAUAACUUCGGGAAACCGGAGCUAAUACCGGAGAAUAUAUUGAACCGCAAGGUUCAAUAGUGAAAGACGGUUUUGCUAUCACUUAUAGAUGGAUCCGCGCCGCAUUAGCUAGUUGGUAAGGUAACGGCUUACCAAGGCAACGAUGCGUAGCCGACCUGAGAGGGUGAUCGGCCACACUGGAACUGAGACACGGUCCAGACUCCUACGGGAGGCAGCAGUAGGGAAUCUUCCGCAAUGGGCGAAAGCCUGACGGAGCAACGCCGCGUGAGUGAUGAAGGUCUUCGGAUCGUAAAACUCUGUUAUUAGGGAAGAACAAAUGUGUGAGUAACUAUGCACGUCUUGACGGUACCUAAUCAGAAAGCCACGGCUAACUACGUG